ACAUUUGACAUGCUCUUAAACACAUGCCCUAACAACACACAACAUUCCAGGAAUGUACUACCAAAGUUCUAUCAAUAUUUGAAUGUCCUGGACAUUUAGGGAACAUUCGGUGAACAUCUGUUUAAAUUAUUCCUGGAAUGUUACCAUAAGACAUUCUGUGAACAUACUACCAAUGUUCCUAUAUUUUAAGUUGCGAAAUAAUACAUACGUGUAACAGAUACAACAUUACUUAUAACAUACCAGACAAACUAAGUGACACUUUAGGCCUACAGUGCAAUAAUAUGUCAAAUUUAAAGAGUUUCCCAAGUUCAAUUAAUACAAUAUUAUAAACAUACAAAUGUAAUAAAAAUUAUUGUUCGCGAAUAUUCAAUUUGGAAUGCGAUUUUGUUAAUAAAAAAAUACUUAUAACUUAUGCAAAACCCAAGAGAGGCAUUUAUAUUUAUUUCUUUUGCGUUCAUUUUCAAAUUCGCCGUGCAUAUAUUUUUGUGCAUGGCGCUUGAGAGGGCAUCACGUGACUAAAAACGACCAACCAACGACCUCGCUUCGGCCAUCUUGGCAUCUUCAUCUUGGCCACCUUGCUUUGCCGUGGGUGGAUCGUUGUUAUUUGUGCUUUUUAAGAAUAUUUUUUUAAUCCGGAUACUUUUAUAAUAGCUUUAAUAGUAUUAUUAACAUAGUGAAUAAAAUGGUGUCCUGUUUUUAACGCAGUUGGAGUAGCAGAAACAAAUAAUGUAGAUAAAAAAAUCUGCAGGAAUAACGUUUCAAUUAUGACAGAAGCUCCAAACAAAUGACUGUGAAUGAAAAGCCCUAUUAAAAGCUUUCCAGAAGAUCCUGCGAAGAAGACAUGAAGUAUAGAUCAGAUUUGUUAAUAGAGGAGUAUGUUCAAAACACUUUUUAGAAAAAGAUAUUGACAGAACUUCACUUUCAUCUGUUCGUUUAAGAGACUGUGCUGUUCCAAUAGCUUAUGUCACACAGAAUCAGCUGAGAGAAGUGGUCUACAAAAAACCAGAAAGGAAACGGAAUAUGUGGCUACGAAAAGCAAAAGAAAGGUUUACAAAGCAAAUGUGACACAUUUUUUUAUAAUAUUUAGGAAUGUCAGUAAAUUACAUUAAAAAAUGUAUGUAAAGAUUUUGUGCAAUAAAAAUGUUUAUAUUUAUCAAGGAUGUAUUAUUUGGUAUGGCCACAUAUCGUCAGUGAUGUGACAAUACCUCCUAUCUGUUUUUUUCAAGAGAUUUGUAAGAUAGACUAAAAACUUGUUUCGGCCACCUCCUGUUUUCAUAUAUUUUUUGACUUGUUUUGCAGUAAAUUCAACUAUCUAUUUACUACAAAAAAGUCAGAAUACGUACGAAAACAGAAAGUGACCUUAAAAAAUGUUUUUCGUCUCCUGCAAACCUCAUGAAAAAACAUAGGAGGUAUUGCCACAUUACUGACGAUAUAUUUCAGUGAAUGUCUAAAAAAUAUACUGUGAAUGUUCAAAGAACGUUCGUAGACAUUCAUGGAAUGUUUUAACAAGACAUUCAGUCUAAAAAUAUACUGUGAAUGUCCAAAG